ACGUACGCUGGCGGCACGCCUAACACAUGCAAGUCGAACGAAGUAGCAAUACUUAGUGGCAGACGGGUGAGUAACAUGUGGGUAUCUGCCCUUUGGCCUGGAAUAACACGAGGAAACUUGUGCUAAUACCGGAUAAGUCUUUACGGAGAAAGCUUUAUGCACCAUUGGAUGAGCCUGCACUUGAUUAGUUUGUUGGUGGGGUAAUGGCCUACCAAGACUGUGAUCAAUAGCUGAUUUGAGAGGAUGAUCAGCCACAUUGGGACUGAGACACGGCCCAAACUCUUACGGGAGGCAGCAGUGGGGAAUCUUGCACAAUGGAGGAAACUCUGAUGCAGCGAUGCCGCGUGAGUGAAGAAGGCCCUUGGGUUGUAAAGCUCUUUCGUCGGGGAAGAAAAUGACUGUACCCGAAUAAGAAGGUCCGGCUAACUUCGUGCCAGCAGCCGCGGUAAUACGAAGGGACCUAGCGUAGUUCGGAAUUACUGGGCUUAAAGAGUUCGUAGGUGGUUGAAAAAGUUAGUGGUGAAAUCCCAGAGCUUAACUCUGGAACUGCCAUUAAAACUUUUCAGCUAGAGUAUGAUAGAGGAAAGCAGAAUUUCUAGUGUAGAGGUGAAAUUCGUAGAUAUUAGAAAGAAUACCAAUUGCGAAGGCAGCUUUCUGGAUCAUUACUGACACUGAGGAACGAAAGCAUGGGUAGCGAAGAGGAUUAGAUACCCUCGUAGUCCAUGCCGUAAACGAUGUGUGUUAGACGUUGGAAAUUUAUUUUCAGUGUCGCAGCGAAAGCGAUAAACACACCGCCUGGGGAGUACGACCGCAAGGUUAAAACUCAAAUGAAUUGACGGGGACCCGCACAAGUAGUGGAGCAUGUGGUUUAAUUCGAAGAUACGCGCAGAACCUUACCAACACUUGACAUGUUCGUCGCGACUCUAAGAGAUUAGAGUUUUCGGUUCGGCCGGACGAAACACAGGUGCUGCAUGGCUGUCGUCAGCUCGUGUCGUGAGAUGUUGGGUUAAGUCCCGCAACGAGCGCAACCCUCACUUUUAGUUGCCAUCAUUAAGUUGGGCACUCUGAAAGAACUGCCAGUGAUAAGCUGGAGGAAGGUGGGGAUGACGUCAAGUCCUCAUGGCCCUUACGUGUUGGGCUACACACGUGCUACAAUGGUAUCUACAACAGGAAGCAAGACUGCGAAGUUAAGCAAAUCCCUAAAAGAUACCUCAGUUCGGAUUGCACUCUGCAACUCGAGUGCAUGAAGCUGGAAUUACUAGUAAUCGUGGAUCAGCGUGCCACGGUGAAUGCGUUCCCGGGUCUUGUACUCACCGCC
rnacentral:rRNA from 1 species